GGUACCUGAAGAAAAAGCAUCGGCUAACUCCGUGCCAGCAGCCGCGGUAAUACGGAGGAUGCAAGCGUUAUCCGGAAUCAUUGGGCGUAAAGGGUCCGCAGGUGGCGAAUAAAGUCUGCUGUUAAAGACCGGGGCUAAACUCCGGAAAGGCAGUGGAAACUGAUUAGCUAGAGUACGGUAGGGGUAGAGGGAAUUCCCAGUGUAGCGGUGAAAUGCGUAGAUAUUGGGAAGAACACCGGUGGCGAAAGCGCUCUACUAGACCGAAACUGACACUGAGGGACGAAAGCUAGGGUAGCGAAAGGGAUUAGAUACCCCUGUAGUCUUAGCGGUAAACGAUGGAUACUAGGUGUAGCUUGUAUCGACCCGAGCUGUGCCGAAGCUAACGCGAUAAGUAUCCCGCCUGGGGAGUACGCACGCAAGUGUGAAACUCAAAGGAAUUGACGGGGGCCCGCACAAGCGGUGGAGUAUAUGGUUUAAUUCGAUGCAACGCGAAGAACCUUACCAGGGCUUGACAUGUCGCGAAUCUAGCGGAAACGUUAGAGUGCCUUAGGGAAUGCGAACACAGGUGGUGCAUGGCUGUCGUCGGCUCGUGUCGUGAGAUGUUGGGUUAAGUCCCGCAACGAGCGCAACCCUCGUCCUUAGUUGCCAAUAUUAAGUUAGGCACUCUAGGGAGACUGCCGGGGACAACUCGGAGGAAGGUGGGGAUGACGUCAGGUCAGCAUGCCCCUUACGUCCUGGGCGACACACGUACUACAAUGGUUGGGACAAAGGGCAGCAAACUCGCGAGAGUAAGCGAAUCUCAUCAAACCCAGCCACAGUUCAGAUUGCAGGCUGCAACUCGCCUGCAUGAAGUAGGAAUCGCUAGUAAUCGCAGGUCAGCAUACUGCGGUGAAUUCGUUCCCGGGCCUUGUACACACCGCCCGUCACACCAUGGAAGCUGGCUACGCCCGAAGUCGUUACCCUAACCCGGUUUUGGGAGGGGGAUGCCGAAGGUAGAGCUAGUGACUGGGGUGAAGUCGUAACAAGGUAGCCGUACCGGAAGGUGUGGCUGGAUCACCUCCUUU
rnacentral:rRNA from 1 species